AUUCGGCCAAGUGCUGUAGGAUGAAGAGGGGUAGUGAGUGGACCCUGCCCCUAUCCUGGCUCUUAGACCCUCUGGCCUAGAGAAUGCAGCCUCCCCCACUCCUGUCCAAGCUCGAGGAGUGGCUGUGGACCUUGUGGCUGGCCCCCAGACUCUUGUGGGCACUCACAUGAUCUAACCAGAUUUGAGAAAACAUGCUUGAGGCUUUGGGGGAGAGCAACAGGAGGGGGUCUCUCCACUCCUUCCUGUUGUUGCUUUUUCGGGGAAUUAAGUUCCAAAGUCAGCAAUUAAGAGGAAAAGGCCCAGAGUCAAAGUGACCCCUGACGGGCUUUUAAAUUACACCUACCGUGUAUAUCCAUGUGGUUUUCUACAUGCACCUCUGAGCAGCUGUGCUGCAAGGUAAAGUUUGAGAACCUCUGAGCUCAGCUGAAUGAAAGUCAGUAUUGCAGGUGUCUGGCCCUUCAAGGGAAUCGUAACAUUCCUAGGGCAGAGUGGGAUGCUAAGAGAAAUCCAAGUUUGUAGACAUAAACACCUAGGGUUGUUUGAGGAACAGCACAAGUAAGAGGCAUUGGCUUUAUUCCCCUCCCCCCCCUAAAAAAAAGUAGGUGAAAAAACACUGCUCUGCCAUGGUAUAUACUAGGGGCUGGUACACUAAGUCUCAUGCCAGUUGGCAACUGGCCUGUUCAGAUCUGGCCCCCGGUCUGUUGUGGCGAAUAAAGUUUUAUUGGCACACAGCCAUGUCCGUUUGCUCACAUACUGUCUAUGGCUGCUUUCACACUACAGGGCAGAGCUGGGUAGUUGAGUAGGGGGCCCAUAGCACUGCAAAUAUUUUUGUCUGGCCCUUUACAGAAGAAGUUUGAUGAUCCCUCAUAUUCUUUUUAUGCCAACAGCCCUUUAUUAGAAGGGUUUUAUUUUUAUUCUCUCUGCUUGAUUUUUCCAGAGUUUUAAAGAGAAAAUAUAUAUAAUUAUAAUAUA